rnacentral:rRNA from 1 species
CGGCUGUUCGCCGAUUAAAGUGGUACGCGAGCUGGGUUCAGACCGGCGUGAGCCAGGUCGGUCCCUAUCUGCUGUGGGCGUUGCAAUGUUGAGAGGAAACUUCUUUAGUACGAGAGGAUUGGGAAGGACACACCCCUGGUGAGCCAGUUGGACCGCUCGGUCCACCGCUGGGUAGCUAAGUGUGGCAGGGAUAACCGCUGAAAGCAUCUAAGCGGGAAGCCCACCUCGAGAUGAGCAUUGCUUUGAGACCCCCGAAAUACUAUCGGGUUGAUAGGUCGCGCGUGUAAGUGCCGAAAUGCAUUCAGCGAAGCGAUACUAACGGUCGAAAAUUUGACC